UUUUUUACUUGAUGUUGAUGUUGUUUGACUUGAGGUUGAUGUUGCUUGAUGUGAUGUGAGACGAUAGAAUUGAGUAAUUGAUGAACGAGAACUAUGAGAUGAUGAGGAAUACAAUGAAGUAGAGGCAAAAAGAGGGUUUACGUUUUGGGUGAAACCUAAGUGAGUGGGUAUAGAUUUAAUUGAUGAAUUACUGUAGAACUAUGGGUUGUACUUAGUAUUGCUUGAUGAUUGGGAGAGGAAAGUAAGAUGAGACGAGAGCGCUACGAUAUAAAUGAGCAUUUG
rnacentral:lncRNA from 1 species